rnacentral:rRNA from 1 species
GAUGAACGCUGGCGGCGUGCUUAACACAUGCAAGUCGAACGAUGAACCGGGUGCUUGCACUCGGGGAUUAGUGGCGAACGGGUGUGUAACACGUGAGCAACCUGCCCCUGACUCUGGGAUAAGCGCUGGAAACGGCGUCUAAUACUGGAUAUGUCCCAUCACCGCAUGGUGUGCGGGUGGAAAGAUUUUUCGGUUGGGGAUGGGCUCGCGGCCUAUCAGCUUGUUGUUGAGGUAAUGGCUCACCAAGGCGUCGACGGGUAGCCGGCCUGAGAGGGUGACCGGCCACACUGGGACUGAGACACGGCCCAGGCUCCUACGGGAGGCAGCAGUGGGGAAUAUUGCACAAUGGGCGGAAGCCUGAUGCAGCAACGCCGCGUGAGGGAUGACGGCCUUCGGGUUGUAAACCUCUUUUAGCAGGGAAGAAGCGAGAGUGACGGUACCUGCAGAAAAAGCACCGGCUAACUACGUGCCAGCCGCCGCCGUAA